CAACGUGGAAGAUCGACGUCGGCGAACGCCACUGGAAAAGAAAGGGGAAUAGGUCGACGUGUACAGACGACGAAGAGAACACGUUUCCUUGAUCCUGCUCGGCGUGCAACUGGUCCCGCGUGUACGGCGGAAGAUCGGGCAUUUAGUGGUGAACCGAGACCAGUAACGGGAAGAGAAAGAACCGAACGAAAACGUAGAUCCGACAAGCGUGAAGAGACAGAGAGAGAAGAGGAAUAGAAGAUGCCGGUGUGGCGUGGUGUAUUAACAAACCGCGUGAAAAGAUCCCAAAAAUAAUUUCGGCGUGAAGAAAUAAAUCCGGGUGAGGCGGUCGCGAGGGUGCCUAAAAGAAGGUUCGCCACCGGGUGCCUUCUGGGAAUGAAACCGGCAUACUAUGCUCGAGUUAUAAGAAGAGCGGUGUAGCGAUCGCAUCGGCUAGUCGCUAAAGAGUUUUGCCGCCGCGAAGAACGGGAACCAACUCGACAGAACAGAAAUAUAUUACUCUAGAAACCUAUCAGACGUUUUUGGAACACUUACGAGUUGCUAUGGAUACGCAGCAGCUUGAUGGCGAAAAGCGGAGGAGAGAGGUUAGAAGACUGUCAGGCAUAAUUCCGACACUUAGCAAUCGCUGCAGUCGCAUGGGAACGCGAUGAGGAAGAAUGGAGAAAGAUUGGAUAAUCUAGAGAGGCUGCUACGAGUAUUCUGAAACACCUACGGAAGCGACGGUGAAGAAAGACAGAGUGGACCGAAGGAAGAGUAACGUUCGAUGUAGAGACCUGUAGGAAAUGUUUGCAGCGCUGACGAAUCUCUAUAGCUGCAGAGAAUCGUGACAAAGAAUGGAAGAACGUAUAAGAGAACUAUAAGACAUAUUUGGAAUAGCUAUGGAUACGUAAGAGUUUGAUGACGAAUAACGGAGAAAUGGGCCAAAGGAAGAGUAACGUAUAGUUUAGAGUUGCAACAGAAACAUUCGUAACACCUACGAAUCUUUAUGAUUGCACAAGAUCGUAUCGAAGAACGAAAGAACGAAUCGAGGGAAGAAGAGUGGAUAACCUAGAAAAUAAUCAGAGACGUUUGCAACAUCUAAAUUGUAUCUAUGGAUACGCAGACGUUUGAUGACAAAGAACGAACCGAGAGAACAGUUUAGGGAUCAGCUACACAUAUUCGAUACAUCUACAAAUCUCCAUGAGCGCAGAGGAAAGAUCUAUCUCAAACGUUUGAAAAACGGAUACGCAGAACCUCAAGGACGAAGAACUAAAAUGUGAACGAAGGGGAUGUUGCAAUCGGGCAUCUACCAAUCUCCAUACUUAGAAAGAAUCGCAAUGACAAAAGAUAGGAAACCAAGUGGAGAACGUAUAACCUGAAAACCUACGAAAAAUAUCUGAAACACCUACGUAGGAAUCUCUACGAAUGCACGGAAUCCUGACAAAGAACGGGCAGAAGAAAUCAAAGGAAGAAUAGCGUAUAACGUAGAAAAGAGGCAAAAAUAUUUGAAAGACCUACGAGUACCCACGGAAGCACAGAAGCUGGAUGACGAAGUACAAACAAAGGGAAUAGAGACCAAUCGGACAUAUUUGGAACACCUAGGAACCUCUAAGAGUGCGCAGGAUCGCGAAGACGAAGAAUGGAAGAAAGAACGGCGAGAAGAAGGAGAAAGGAUGGUGUCUAGAGACCCAUCGGACAUAUUUGGAACACCUACGAAUGUUUCUAUGAACGCACAGGGUGGAUUCUCAAACACUGGAUACUGGUUUGCAGUAGUCGUUGUUGUUGUUGUUGUUCUAGUUUGUUGUUUGUAUAGAGAAUAGUCGACGUGAGAGAGAAGAGAUAGUGAUGAAGAGACCGAAUAUGCCGAUGUGGCAAGGCUCGAGACGCAACGGCCACAAGGCAAAGGCAAGGCAAGCAAGCAAGGCACAAGCAGGCAGGACUUACCUCUGCUGUUUUUAGAACUCCACUCCCAGAACUGCGCGGGUCGAGCCGAGCCAAAACCAAAAUACCACCGAUAUAGCUUUUCUGCGAUGGUCUUUGUGUGCGCGACCAACCAGCUCUUUCCUUAGGACGUCCAACCGGCUUGCACCGGAGUCGAACGAACCAACCUUACCCUGACACGAGUCUACGACCACGAACAUGGAUGAUGAUGACGAUGAUCGAGACGACCAAGACGAGAGUUCAGACAUUUCGAUGGUGCAUAUAAUAGUUUGAAGAAUUGAAUAAUUCUGUUAUUCGGUUGUUCGAUGAAAGAAACGUUAUCGAACCAAGUAUCGGAAUGUUGGAGGAUGUCGAGGGUGGUUCUGUUCAAAACGACGACCAAGAAUAGAAAAGUUUCGAAGGUGCAUCGAGAGAAACUGUAGUCGUAUUGGAAUAAUUUUUGUUGCUUUGGAAUGUUGGAGGAUGUUCAAGAAUGUCGAAGGCAUACACGAAGGGGAGAAACUUGGAAUUUCCAUUCUUCGGGCGAUUAUUAUCUUCUAGAAAUAUCUCAAUGGAUAAAGUGAUUAUUGCGCAGAAAGAAAAAGAGAGGUAGGAAAUUUCCAUUUUUUAGAGAAUUAUUGUACAGAAUAUUUGGGAUCAAAUAUCUUUCUAGAAAUUUCUUUACAGAAGAUAAUGAUUUUUAUGUAGCAACAUAAGGAUAGUUUUUUUUUACGAUAUAUUAAAAAAUAGGAAAGGGUAUCAGGAAAGUUAUAUAAUUUCGAAGGUUAUGUAACAAAUUGCCCAAUUUUCAGUUACCAAUCGUACCACUACCGAUCGCUCAAUAUUUUUUUAAACCGUCUUCCACUUCCUCUUCAACGUCCACCAUUAUUACAGCAGAACACAUACGUCAGAGAAGUGUCAGCUCAAAAAGCGAGCCAAAUCUUGAAGACCAACUGAUUCAUUGAUGAGAUCAUGCAACUAAAACCAGCACGGUCGUGCCAAAAUACCCGGAAAUUUUCUCUUUUCUUACUUGCAAAAAUCAUAUAUAAUAUAUUAUUAUAUUACUUAUGUGGUGAUCGAAUCGUCGGAAUAUAUCUCCGUUCUACUGUAACAGUUAAGGGUUAAUCGCAGGAUGGUGACAAUAACUUCUGUCUUCUUAGAAGAAUUGCAAAGCUUUAGAUGACGAAAGUUUCAGGUCGUCGGAUGAAAACUUCGUUUUCGAGGGAUUCUGAUGUUUUUGGUUCCCGAAUUCACAAGUACAAAUUUUACAUCGCCAGAUCUAAGGAAAUUAAUUUGUAUAUUUAGAAAUCCGAAAAUCGGAGUUUAAAGUUUUACAGAAAACUGAAGUUUUAAAACAAUUAACAUUAAAUUCACGAUAAAUAUUUGGAAAAAAAAUAAUAUCGGCGAUAACUGGCGUCUGUAACAGAAUUUUACAUCAGUUAAUUAACUUCAGAAAAGCUAACAUCAUAAUUCAUUAAUUCCAAAUAUGAAAUUUACAUAUUGAAAACCUAUUAGAAUAAUUAAUCCUGGUAAACCUUAUAAAAAAACUAAAAUUUCAUAAUUGAAGACAGCGUUAACGUUAAUUUAAAGGAACUUGAAAUUGUUAAAUCAGAAGAAUUGAACAAACAGUGAACACAGUUGGCGAUGAAACGAAGUUUCCAGGGUGAAACAAAGGCGACAAUAAUUUUUGCCUUCGCCGAAGCCGCCGACUAGGAAAGAGGAAGGCAUAAAACGACAUUGCUCCGGAUCGGCACGUGCCACUCGAUAAAUCUGUCGGCAGCUGACGGCACAGCCGGCUGCAGCCUCCCGCCUGCACUUGCGCUUUCUCCCUUCUUUCUCCCCUGUGUCUUAACGUUUCUUCCGCCCCCUCCUCAACCUUCUUGCAAUCCCUUCGCUCUUACGUGAACUCCUCGCGACCCUUCUUCGCGGCCACGCCAAGCGUUACAUGUAUCUUCGUGACUGAAUGCUAGGAUCACAUCUUCGAAGCAUUACAUUAUGAUUGGAUGCGUAUUUUUAUUUACGCAGAAGUGCAAGAACUCACAGAAUUCGCAUAAUAUACAAAAGUAUAUAAAAUACGCGAAGUUUAUCAGCUAUUAUAAUAUGAAAUUUCUGCCACUCUAAUUAUAAUAGAUUUGUCCAUUUAUUAAAUGAAUAUUUGAAUUAAAACAUUCGCUGUUAAUUAGAAUAUAGCGAAUCGCCAUUGAAAUUGCAUCUUUGUCCGUGAAAAACGUCUUUAUUUUAAGUAACAAUGUUUCCUCUUCGAUACUAUUUUGUUUGCCUUUCACAAAUGCACAUAACCUAUACUGUAAAAAUUGCGUCAGCGUUGGUUAGCGUUAUUACUUGGACAAUGGAAUUGACGCAUAGAAUGCGUCAAUAGCAGCGAAUGUUAAUUAGUGCUCCUGGAACCGAAUUUUGUUGUGCUAUGUUCUCUCUCUUUUCGUUAAUUAUUUAUUACAGAAACAUGCUUCCUCUAAAGUUUUCACGAGAAAGUAUAAUGUACUAAAUGAAUUUAUUUCAUUAGAAGUCAUAGAAUUUGCAAAUUAGAACCUUCAUAAAUAUGAUGUAAUACAUAUCGAUAAUUAAAGAAAAAUACAUCGAUAAUGUGUUACUAAAUUUUAAAUUGUACGUAGCCGUAUUACAAUAAAUGAUCCUAACCUUCA